GUGAGGAAUAUUGCGCAAUGGAGGCAACUCUGACGCAGCCAUGUCGCGUGCAGGAAGAAGGCGCUACGCGUUGUAAACUGCUUUUAACCGGGAAGAAACCCCAGGACGUGUCCUGGGUUGACGGUACCGGAGGAAUAAGCACCGGCUAACUUCGUGCCAGCAGCCGCGGUAAUACGAAGGGUGCAAGCGUUAUCCGGAUUCAUUGGGUUUAAAGGGUGCGUAGGCGGAGCGUUAAGUCAGUGGUGAAAUCCUGCAGCUUAACUGUAGACUUGCCAUUGAUACUGGCGCUCUUGAGUGCGCUUGAAGUGGGCGGAAUGUGCCGUGUAGCGGUGAAAUGCUUAGAUAUGGCACAGAACACCAAUUGCGAAGGCAGCUCACUAAGGCGAUACUGACGCUGAGGCACGAAAGCGUGGGGAUCGAACAGGAUUAGAAACCCCGGUAGUCC
rnacentral:rRNA from 1 species